rnacentral:tRNA from 1 species
AAUAAAGCUUAAGAGUUAGGUAUUCCAUUUACACUGGGAAGGUUUCUGUGCAAUUCAGAUUAUUUUGAUGG